GGCGUGGUGGCAGAGUGGUCUAAUGCGCAAGACUCGAAUUCAUUGAUUCGUGCAUAUCUUGUCUCUUCGGAGGCGUCGGUUCAAAUCCGGCCCACGUCG